UACGGAGGGUGCAAGCGUUGUUCGGAAUCAUUGGGCGUAAAGCGCGUGUAGGCGGCUUGGCAAGUCAGUUGUGAAAGCCCGGGGCCCAACCCCGGAAUUGCAUCUGAAACUGCCUGGCUAGAGUCCCGGAGAGGAAGGCAGAAUUCCCGGUGUAGGGGUGAAAUCCGUAGAUAUCAGGAGGAAUACCAGCGGCGAAGGCGGCCUUCUGGACGGUGACUGACGCUGAGACGCGAAAGCGUGGGGAGCAAACAGG
rnacentral:rRNA from 1 species